rnacentral:lncRNA from 1 species
CGGGGACAGGGCAGGGCGGUCAAGCAGAGGGGGCAGUGCCAGGCUGCGGUGGCCAGGCAGGGGGUGGCCAGGGUGGGCAGGCGGGGUGGGCAGUGCCAGGCAGGGUGGUCAGGCAGGGUGGUCAGACAGAGCGGUCAGUGCCAAGCAGGGUGGUCAGGCAGGGUGGUCAGUGCCAGGCAGGGUGGUCAGGGUGGCCAAGCAGGGUGGUCAGUGCCAGGCAGGGUGGUCAGACAGAAUAGUCAGUGCCAGGCAGGGAUGGUCAGAGUGGUCAGGCAGGGUGGUCAGUGCCAGGCAGGGUGGUCAGGCACAGUAGUCAGGGUCAGGCAGGGUGGUCAGGGUGGUCAAGCAGGGUGGUCAGUGCCAGGCAGGCUGGGCAGUGCCAGGACGUGCCGAGGGCCAGCACCAAGGGCCCGCGGGUGGCGCAGCCGGACCAGCGGUGGCCGUGCAGGGGCUUGGCCAAGCCGAGCGCUCGGGGGGGCUCCGAGGGGACCCCCGUGUCCCCAAGGCGGGGACGGCCAGGUGCCAGGUGUGCGGUGGCGCGGCCAAACCGGCCACGGGCGCGUCCCCACGGGGAUCCCCCAGGGGAGCAGCCCCGGGAAGGGACAGCCAAAGGAAUUCCCGGGAAUUCCCCAAUCCCACAGCUGGGGAAGGAGCCCGCCACGCGACAUCCCCGCAUGCGACAUCCCCACAUGCGACAUUCCCGCAUGCGACAUUCCCGCAUGCGACAUUCCCGGCGGGAUGCGGAGGGGCCGGGAGCUCUCCGGGAUCCCGGGAUGUGCGGCGGGGCUCGCGGGAGGUGCGGAGAGGGACAGGGAUAGAGGGGACAGAGGGGACAAGGAGCGGAGGGGGCAGGGGAGGCACAGGAGGGUGGCACGGGAUUGUCUGGGGUGGGAGCUGGGGUGGGAUUGGGAGUGGGAUUUGGGGUGGGAUUUGGGAUGGGAUCGGGGAUGGGAUUUGGGGUGGGAUUGGGGGGGGGAUGCGGGGUGGGCACGGGGGGGGGACGGGGGGAGGGUGGCACCGGGCGGGUGAGGGGGUGGGGAUGGAUCUGGGGAAGGUUGGGGGGUGAGUUUGGAGGCAAAGAUUCGAUGGAUUUGGCUGAUAAGGGUGGGAUGGAUUUGGGGUGUAAGUGGGAUGGAUUUUGGGGCUAAGGGUGGGAGGAAUUUGGUG